rnacentral:tRNA from 1 species
AUGAAGUGGCCGAGUGGAUAAUGCGAUGGCGUUUGAAGCAAAAGGUACUGAGUUCGAGUCCCAGAGUGAACA